AUGGCCGACGCGGGUCAAAGUGUAGUAUCUGUUCUUAUCAACUUAAUAUCUGAUACGGGUUGUAUUUGGACCCAAGAUAUCAAACUUAAUUUUGCAAGUUGGCGGAGUGCGUGAAGGCCCGUUUCACCUCCGCCUCGGUUCGUCCCGGUAUUGCACAAUCUUCGGGAUAUUUGGUCUACGGACA